rnacentral:rRNA from 1 species
UACGUAGGGGGCAAGCGUUGUCCGGAAUCAUUGGGCGUAAAGCGCGUGUAGGCGGCCCAGUAAGUCCGCUGUGAAAGCCCAGGGCUCAACCCUGGGAUGCCGGUGGAUACUGUUGGGCUCGAGUCCGGAAGAGGCGAGUGGAAUUCCCGGUGUAGCGGUGAAAUGCGCAGAUAUCAGGAGGAACACCGAUUGCGAAGGCAGCUCGCUGGGACGUAACUGACGCUGAGACGCGAAAGCGUGGGGAGCAAACAGG